CUACGGGCGGCACCAGUGAGGAAUAUUGCGCAAUGGGGGGAACCCUGAUGCAGCAACGCCGCGUGGAGGAUGACGCAUUUCGGUGUGUAAACUCCUUUUAUAUGUCAAGAAAAUGACGGUAGCAUAUGAAUAAGCACCGGCUAACUCCGUGCCAGCAGCCGCGGUAAUACGGAGGGUGCAAGCGUUACUCGGAAUCACUGGGCGUAAAGGACGCGUAGGCGGGUUGGAAAGUCAGGUGUGAAAUCCUACAGCUUAACUGUAGAACUGCACUUGAAACUUCUAAUCUAGAGUAUGGGAGGGGGAGAUGGAAUUAGUGGUGUAGGGGUAAAAUCCGUAGAUAUCACUAGGAAUACCUAAAGCGAAGGCGAUCUCCUGGAACAUUACUGACGCUAAGGCGUGAAAGCGUGGGGAGCAAAUAGGAUUAGAUACCCCCGUAGUC
rnacentral:rRNA from 1 species